GCUGGCGGCGUGGAUAAGACAUGCAAGUCGAACGAGACUUUUCGUUGUAGCAAUACGAUGGAAAGUUAGUGGCGAACGGGUGCUUAACACGUGGGCAACCUGCCAUGAAGUGGGGGAUAGCUCGCCGAAAGGCGAAUUAAUACCGCAUGUGAUUAGAGAGGACAUCCUUUCGAAAUUAAAGUCGGGGCAACCUGACGCUUCUUGUGGGGCCCGCGGCCUAUCAGCUAGUUGGUGAGGUAACGGCUCACCAAGGCUUUGACGGGUAGCUGGUCUGAGAGGACGACCAGCCACACUGGGACUGAGACACGGCCCAGACACCUACGGGUGGCAGCAGUCGAGAAUUUUUGACAAUGGGGGAAACCCUGAUCGAGCGACGCCGCGUGGAGGAUGAAUGUCUUCGGAUUGUAAACUCCUGUCAUUGGGGAACAAUGCACAGAUAUUAACUGUAUUUGUGUUGAUAGUACCCGAAGAGGAAGAGACGGCUAACUCUGUGCCAGCAGCCGCGGUAAUACAGAGGUCUCAAGCGUUGUUCGGAUUCAUUGGGCGUAAAGGGUGCGUA
rnacentral:rRNA from 1 species